GCCAGACUCCUACGGGAGGCAGCAGUGAGGAAUAUUGGUCAAUGGGCGGAAGCCUGAACCAGCCAAGUCGCGUGAGGGAAGAAGGCCCUGCGGGUCGCAGACCUCUUUGGACGGGGAGCAAGGCCGCCGACGUGUCGGCGGAAGGAGAGUACCCGUAGAACAAGCAUCGGCUAACUCCGUGCCAGCAGCCGCGGUAAUACGUAGGGGGCAAGCGUUAUCCGGAUUUACUGGGUGUAAAGGGAGCGUAGACGGCAUGGCAAGUCAGAUGUGAAAGCCCGGGGCUCAACCCCGGGACUGCAUUUGAAACUGUCAGGCUGGAGUGCAGGAGAGGUAAGUGGAAUUCCUAGUGUAGCGGUGAAAUGCGUAGAUAUUAGGAGGAACACCAGUGGCGAAGGCGGCUUACUGGACUGUAACUGACGUUGAGGCUCGAAAGCGUGGGGAGCAAACAGGAUUAGAUACCCCCGUA
rnacentral:rRNA from 1 species